rnacentral:rRNA from 1 species
GAGAACUCUGAUGCAUUGAUGCCGCGUGAGUGAAGAAGGCCUUUGGGUUGUAAAGCUCUUUUGUAGGGGAAGAUAAUGACUGUACCCUAAGAAUAAGGUCCGGCUAACUUCGUGCCAGCAGCCGCGGUAAUACAUAGGGUGCAAGCGUUGUCCGGAAUUAUUGGGCGUAAAGAGCUCGUAGGUGGUUCGUUACGUCGGAUGUGAAAAUCAGGGGCUCAACCCCUGACCUGCAUUCGAUACGGGCGAACUGGAGUUUGGUAGGGGAGACCGGAAUUCCUGGUGUAGCGGUGAAAUGCGCAGAUAUCAGGGGGAACACCGAUGGCGAAGGCAGGUCUCUGGGCCAAUACUGACACUGAGGAGCGAAAGCGCGGGGAGCGAACAGGAUUAGAUACCCUGGUAGUCCGCGCCGUAAACGAUGGGCGCUAGUUGUGGGAGCCUUCCACGGUUUCUGCGACGCAGCUAACGCAUUAAGCGCCCCGCCUGGGGAGUACGAUCGCAAGAUUAAAACUCAAAGGAAUUGACGGGGCCCCGCACAAGCAGCGGAGCAUGCGGCUUAAUUCGACGCAACGCGAAGAACCUUACCAAGGCUUGACAUAUG